AUUGAACGCUAGCGGCAUGCCUUACACAUGCAAGUCGAGCGGAGUGGCGGACGGGUGAGUAAUGCCUAGGAAUCUGCCUGGUAGUGGGGGUAAACGUGCGGAAACGUGCGCAAUUACCGCAAACUAUGAGACGAGCCUAGGUCGGAUUAGCUAGUGGGUGGGGUAAGGGCUUACCAAGGCGACGAUCCGUAACUGGUCUGAGAGGACGAUCAGUCACACUGGGACUGAGACACGGUCCAGACUCCUACGGGAGGCAGCAGUGGGGAAUAUUGGACAAUGGGGGAAAGCCUGAUCCAGCCAUGCCGCGUGUGCGAAGAAGGUCUUCGGAUUGUAAAGCACUUUAAGCAGGAAGGCGUUACCAACAGAAUAAGCACCGGCUAACUACGUGCCAGCAGCCGCGGUAAUUC
rnacentral:rRNA from 1 species